GAAAUGCGAUAAGUAAUGUGAAUUGCAGAAUUCAGUGAAUCAUCGAAUCUUUGAACGCACCUUGCGCUCCUUGGUAUUCCUUGGAGCAUGCCUGUUUGAGUAUCAUGAAAUCUUCAAAGUAAAUCUUUUGUUAACUCAAUUGGUUUCUACUUUGGUAUUGGAGGUCUUUGCAGCUUCACACCUGCUCCUCUUUGUUCAUUAGCUGGAUCUCAGUGUUAUGCUUGGUUCCACUCGGCGUGAUAAGUUAUCUAUCGCUGAGGACACUGUAAAAGGUGGCCAAGGUAAAUGCAGAUGAACCGCUUCUAAUAGUCCAUUGACUUGGACAAUACUUUUAUGAUCUGAUCUCAAAUCAGGUAGGACUACCCGCUGAACGUAAGC
rnacentral:misc_RNA from 1 species